rnacentral:rRNA from 1 species
AGUGAACGCUGGCGGUAGGCCUAACACAUGCAAGUCGAACGGCAGCACAGUAAGAGCUUGCUCUUACGGGUGGCGAGUGGCGGACGGGUGAGGAAUACAUCGGAAUCUACUUUUUCGUGGGGGAUAACGUAGGGAAACUUACGCUAAUACCGCAUACGACCUACGGGUGAAAGCAGGGGAUCUUCGGACCUUGCGCGAUUGAAUGAGCCGAUGUCGGAUUAGCUAGUUGGCGGGGUAAAGGCCCACCAAGGCGACGAUCCGUAGCUGGUCUGAGAGGAUGAACCAGCAAACUGGAACUGAGAAACGGUCCAGACUCCUACGGGAGGCAGCAGUGGGGAAUAAUGGACAAAGGGCGCAAGCCUGAUCCAGACAUACCGCGUGGGUGAAGAAGGCCUUCGGGUUGUAAAGCCCUUUUGUUGGGAAAGAAAAGCAGCAGGUUAAUACCCCGCUGUUCUGACGGUACCCAAAGAAUAAGCACCGGCUAACUUCGUG